CAGUAGCCGCGGUAAUACGUAGGGUGCAAGCGUUAAUCGGAAUUACUGGGCGUAAAGCGUGCGCAGGCGGUUUCGCAAGACAGAUGUGAAAUCCCCGGGCUUAACCUGGGAACUGCAUUUGUGACUGCGAGGCUAGAGUGUGUCAGAGGGGGGUGGAAUUCCACGUGUAGCAGUGAAAUGCGUAGAUAUGUGGAGGAACACCGAUGGCGAAGGCAGCCCCCUGGGAUAACACUGACGCUCAUGCACGAAAGCGUGGGGAGCAAACAGGAUUAGAGACCCCUGUAGUCCCUGUCUCUUAUAC
rnacentral:rRNA from 1 species